GCCAGGCUGACCUCAAGUGAUUUGCCCACCUCAGUCUCCCAAAGUGCUGGGAUUACAGGCCUGAGCCACUGUGCUCAGCCUACCUGCACAUGUUUCUUAUUCCAGUGACACACAUGUGCUUAGCUCACUGAGAUGGUUGCCAGUAGUUGCUUCCUGGUUCCUGAACUAUAAGGAUAGGAAUUUUGAUACAAAAAUCAAAUAUUGUGGUACAGUUGACUUUGCUCCCCAACUUCCAGCUGCCCUUGAGAUGCUUCCAAGCUCACCCAGCAGCCUAUGGUCCCAACACUUAUCACUGAGCACCUCUCCCUCGCCUGGACUGCCUGUUCCUCUGGGCAGCUGGUGGACCUUUGCUCCUGGUCCGCAGAGCUCUUGGAAGACAUCACUGUGCUCACUUCUCUCACAGGACCCCACCCAGUCCUGAGACAACCCUGGGAUGCAACUGGGGGCUGGAGAGGCAGAACAAUGUUUUGUUAGUUAGAAGGACUUGGAUUCCAGACCCGGCUCUUGCUCUUCUGGGCUCUGUGACUAGGGGCAUAUGAUUUCUACUGUCUGUAAUUUCCCUCAUGAAAAAUGGGGAUGGUACUACUUAAUCUUCUGCAAGAAUGCCUGUCAGGCACCUGGCGUGGGGCCUAGUGUGCACUAGGUCAUCAUUUUGGCCAAACACACUCAGUAAAUGGUGACUGAGUAACUGAGACAGGGCAAAGUGUGAGGCAUGUUUGGGUGGUGAAGCUAAGUAAUGGUUCAUUUUGGGGGUGGUGUGGAUAUGUGGAUAUGUGUACCUGGGGCAUUCAUAGUUGGAAGUGAUGCUGGGAGUGACUAUUAAGGUCAAAUUUUGGGAACUUUGAAUGUUAGACUUACGAAGCUGGACUUUAUUCUGGCUGUGUUUGAUUCAGCUUAACUCUCUUUACUAAAACAUUUUCACUUGCUUCCCAGCCCAGACUGUGGGCACUUUGAUAACGAUGCCUGUGGCCAGGUUCAAUGACCUGGGGAAUGACCUUCAAUUCUAUCUCCCACUCCUGGCACUCCAGGUUCCCCUUGGGAUUUUACGCCUGUUGCUUUAUGCCUGAAUUAUUCUUCACAUGGACUCCUCAUUGCUUACUCUGCCUGGGUUUUUAUUUUCGUCACCGUUGAAUGGUUCUUUUAGUUUUUAUCCACAAAAGCCUAUGGGCAUACUGUGCUCUUUGCAAAUUCACUGUCUCCCUGGACCUGCCCUUCCAGCACUGGCGUCUCCUUGCUGCCUGGGAGGAGAGGUGGAGAGUUGUCAUCAGGGAGCCAGUGAAGAAUUCUCCAGCAGCUGGAGCAGCACCAGCUACUGGAGCAGGUCCACCAGCU
rnacentral:lncRNA from 10 species